rnacentral:rRNA from 1 species
UAUUUGACAAUGGGCGAAAGCCUGAUCCAGCCAUGCCGCGUGUGUGAAGAAGGUCUGCGGGUUGUAAAGCACACUAUGUUGGGCGGAGGGGAUGUAGAUGAAUGCCCUGCAAUUUUGACGUGACCACCAGCAUAAGCACCGGCUAACUUCGUGCCAGCAGCCGCGGUAAUACGAACGGCGCAAGCGUGAGUCGGAAUUCCUGGGCGUAAGGCGCGCGGAGGUGGAUUGGGAAGGUGGAAGUGAAAGCCCCGGGCUCAAGCUGGAAACUGCUUUCAAAACUGGCAAGCUAGAGUAAGGGAGAGGGUGGUGGAAUUUCCUGUGUAGGGGUGAAAUGGGUAGAUAUAGGAAGGAACAUCAGUGGCGAAGGCGACUGCCUGGACUGAUACUGACACUGAGGUGCGAAAGCGUGGGGAGCGAACAGG